GACGGAGGGUGCUAGCGUUGUUCGGAAUGACUGGGCGUAAAGGGCGCGUAGGCGGCUCGUGAAGUCGGGUGUGAAAGCCCGGGGCUCAACCCCGGAACUGCCUUUAAGACUGCAUCGCUUGAAUCCGGGAGAGGUGAGUGGAAUUCCGAGUGUAGAGGUGAAAUUCGUAGAUAUUCGGAAGAACACCAGUGGCGAAGGCGGCUCACUGGACCGGCAUUGACGCUGAGGUGCGAAAGCGUGGGGAGCAAACAGG
rnacentral:rRNA from 1 species